UACGGAGGCUGCAAGCGUUAUCCGGAAUGAUUGGGCGUAAAGCGUCCGCAGGUGGCUAUGUAAGUCUGCUGUUAAAGAGUGAGGCUCAACCUCAUAAGAGCAGUGGAAACUACAUGGCUAGAGUGCGUUCGGGGCAGAGGGAAUUCCUGGUGUAGCGGUGAAAUGCGUAGAGAUCAGGAAGAACACCGGUGGCGAAAGCGCUCUGCUAGGCCGCAACUGACACUCAUGGACGAAAGCUAGGGGAGCGAAUGGG
rnacentral:rRNA from 1 species